rnacentral:tRNA from 1 species
GGGGACUUGGCGAAGCCCGGUAUAUCCUCUCAUCCGUGAGAUGGUUCCGGAAUCGCGGCAGCCUCCAGAGUUGUUGGUCGCCGGUUCAAAUCCGGCAGUCCCCACCA